rnacentral:rRNA from 2 species
UACGUAGGCAGCAAGCGUUGUUCGGAGUUACUGGGCGUAAAGAGUGCGUAGGCGGUGCCCUAAGUCUGUUGUGAAAUCUCCCGGCUUAACUGGGAGGGUGCGGUGGAAACUGGGGUGCUUGAGUGUGGGAGAGGUAAGCGGAAUUCCUGGUGUAGCGGUGAAAUGCGUAGAUAUCAGGAGGAACACCGGUGGUGUAGACGGCUUACUGGACCACGACUGACGCUGAGGCACGAAAGCGUGGGUAGCAAACAGG